rnacentral:misc_RNA from 1 species
GAUGAAGAACGUAGCGAAAUGCGAUACGUAAUGUGAAUUGCAAAUUCAGUGAAUCAUCGAGUCUUUGAACGCACAUUGCGCCCCCUGGUAUUCCGGGGGGCAUGCCUGUCCGAGCGUCAUUGCUGCCCUCAAGCACGGCUUGUGUGUUGGGCCCCGUCCUCCGAUCCCGGGGGACGGGCCCGAAAGGCAGCGGCGGCACCGCGUCCGGUCCACGAGCGUAUGGGGCUUUGUCACCCGCUCUGUAGGCCCGGCCGGCGCUUGCCGAUCAACCCAAAUUUUUAUCCAGGUUGACCUCGGAUCAGGUAGGGAUACCCGCUGAACUUAAGCAUAUCAAUAAGCGGAGGA